rnacentral:lncRNA from 1 species
UGCUCUGAAUUUGAUGCUUUGGAAAUAAAUAGGGGUGUGAAAAUCACCUACAACAACUAUAGAUCAACCCUCUGGGUGAACAUAAAGUUAAAAAAUUGCAUCAAAAUUAAGAAGAUUUAAAAAAUUGCAUAAAACAAAUUGGUAAUAAAAAAAGCAGGCGUUCGAGAGGCUUUCACGCGCCUUAUCUUUUUCUCUCUCGAGAUUUUUUUUCCUUGUUCAUGAGGAGGUUUCCGGCUCCGGCAAGCUUCGCCGAUUCGCGUGGAGAUCUCCCUCCCUCCUUUUUUCGGCAUAUGAUCUAUUAGACGGAACAGACGAGCUCUACUUUAGAUCGGAGGCACUUCUCUUCUUUUCCGAGUGUCGGUGGGUCCUCUGGUGCGGUGGCCCUUAAGAUAUAUCUGGUGGUUUAGUGACUCGUCGGAGUUGAUGGUGUAUUCACUGUUAGAGGAUGAUGGUGAGGCCAUCCGACUCCGCUAGUCAGUCAUCGGGGCUGUGAGUCUUGUCUCGAUUGUUGAGAGUUGGGUUUGUUGACGUCAGUGCAACCCUGGGUGAUGGUGGUUCACUAGGUGAUGUCUUGACCGGUUUAAAGUUAGUGAAGCGCGUAGACCCUCAGACCUGUGAAAUGGAAAGCCUGUGGAGAAACUGAGGCGUUUAGGGUUUUGGGAGUUGGAAUCUAUUUUGGGAUUCGGCGAUAAUUGGAUGUGGGACACCUAUGAAGGUGGGCACUCUAAAAAUAAACCAAUGACGGUUCGCUUGCUGGUCUUGGACACACCGUCUUUGGAGAGAUCCGGACAGUUGGAAGUUUUGGCUAUCAGUGUUCAUCGGAGCAUUCAUUUAUGCAUCGUUCUCUUCUUCUCAUGCCCAAUUAGUUUCUUUUGUGCAUGUUUCAGUUUGCUUUAACUUUUUCCUGUAACUUAAGUUCUAAUGUUUUUCCGAAACACCAGAAAAUGCUUGUUCCGAUACCCUUUUAUGGGUUAAAUUUAACGGAUUUACUAUUUAAAAAUUGCUUAUCAAAAUUUUUUUACUAGCAAGCAAAUUUGUGAGGAACAUAAUAAAUAAAUCCUUUAUCC